rnacentral:misc_RNA from 1 species
UGUGACUCGAGUGGAAAGGAUAUUUGUGCUUCAUUCGUGUUACAUACAUUUAUAUAUAUAAAUAUUUAGUGACGACAAUAAAAGUGUUCAAUUUUUUUAAUUUAAAAAAAAAAUGAGUUAAAAUUGUGUCAAAAGAGAUUUUCGUUCUAUAAUAUAAUAUCAUAUACUUAAAGAAUCUUCUUUUAGUGUGUGUUUGAUAAAAUAUAUUUAUAUUAUUGUUCACUGACUCAUAAUUGUAUAGUUAAUUCUAUACAUCAUGACAUGGGGCUUUGUAACUUGUGGUCCAAAUGAGGCUCUUGUAGUUUCAGGAUGCUGUCAUAAAAAACCCCUCUUAGUUCCAGGAGGAAGAGCCUUUGUAUGGCCAGGAAUACAAUAUGUUCAAAGACUUGGUUUAAACACCAUGACCUUACAAGUAUCAAGUUCAGCCGUAUAUUCUGCUCAAGGAGUUGCUAUUUCCGUUACAGGGAUUGCUCAAGUUAAAAUCCAAGGGCAAAAUGAGGAAAUGUUACUGGCUGCCUGUGAGCAAUUCCUGGGGAAGAAUCAGGAACAAAUCCAGCAAGUUGCUCUUGAGACCCUUGAGGGACACCAGAGAGCCAUUAUGGGCUCAAUGACUGUUGAGGAAAUCUACAAGGAUCGGAAAAAGUUCUCAAAGCAAGUCUUUGAAGUGGCCUCCUCCGACUUGGUCAAUAUGGGCAUCACGGUCGUUUCCUACACUCUUAAAGACAUCCGUGAUGAAGAGGGAUAUCUCAAAGCUCUAGGAAUGGCUCGAACGGCUGAAGUCAAGCGUGAUGCUCGUAUCGGCGAGGCAGAAGCAAAAAGAGACGCUCAGAUCAAGGAGGCUAUAGCUGAAGAGGAGAGAAUGGCGGCUCGUCUUUUGAACGAUGCUGAGAUCGCUAAGAGUAAAAGGGACUUUGAGCUUAAAAAGGCAGCCUAUGACGUGGAGGUGAAUACUAAAAAAGCAGAAGCAGAGUUAGCCUAUGAGCUCCAGGCUGCUAAAACCAAACAAAGGAUCAAGGAUGAACAAAUGCAAAUCCGUGUAGUCGAAAGAGCUCAAGAAAUCUUAGUACAGGCUCAAGAAAUUCAAAGACGAGAAAGGGAACUGGAUUCUACGGUGCGACGACCUGCAGAGGCUGAAAAGUAUCGACUCGAAAAGAUAGCGGAGGCCAAUAAGAACAAAAUCAUUAUGGAGUCUGAAGCAGAUGCUGAAGCAGAAAUCCUCAAAGGAGAAGCGGAGGCAUUCGCCAUUGAGGCUCGUGCUAAAGCUGAGGCGGAACAAAUGGCUAAAAAAGCAGAUGCAUGGAAAGAAUACAAGGAUGCAGCAGUCCUGGAAAUGAUGCUCGAUUCAAUGCCUAAAAUCGCCGCAGAGAUUGCUGCGCCCUUAUCCCAAGCGAAGAAAAUUACAAUGGUAUCCGAUGGUUCUGGUGAGAUCGGUGCUUCACGUCUCACGGGAGAAGUCCUCACCAUCAUGUCCUCAGUUUCACAUACCGUAAAACAAUUAACUGGAGUGGACAUUACAACACAAUGUCACAGUCGAUCUAUGGGUGCUACCAGGGAAGGACUAAUUUAUGAUAAUCUUGCUCAACUAUGUGCCAGUGCGUCUAGCAACAAAAAGCUUACAAAAUAAACUCUUUCCAAAAAAAAAAUUAUGAAUCUCUCCAAACCCGAAAGGAAUGCAAAUGAAUAGUGCAUCAAUAACAUCCAUGCGAUCCCACUAAUUAUACUAAAGGAUUAUGGGGAAGCUAAAUUAUAUAUAUAUACAUAUAUAUAAUCUAAAUUCAACAAACUUCGCUCCUCGACGCGAGAGAUGACGAAUCUUAAAGUACUACACUUUUUUAUACUAUUAUCAUCCGUUUUAACCAUAUACAUUAUUUAAAGACUACUACUAUGGACUUCAACACCUCAAGAUGAUGAUGAUGAUGACAGGAGAUCACUAGUCACCAGACCAUUCCUACUAAUUAUUCACUCAUGAAUCAUGAGCAUAAAAAACGACCGUGGAGUUUAGAACUCUCAAUUCAAUUUGUAAUGAACUCUUUAUAUAUAUAUCUCUCACCAUUCCAUGCGGACCAUGCCUCCGUUAUGUUCUUAAUCAUGAAUUGUCUUUCUGCUGUUUCUUUUGGAUAUUUAUUUCUUUUUUUAUACAUACUAAUACUAAAUAGAGGUAUACUAUAAAAAGAGGAACAAAUACGUGCUUUUUAAUAUAUAAACUAAUCAUAAUUUAACAGCUUUUAUUUUUCAUUACCGUUUUUGUGAAUACUCUUUCAUUCUAAUACUUGUGUCAUUUAAAUCCAUUUUUAUUUACUGCCAUUGAUAGUUCGUCGUCGUUACUCAACUGCCAGAAAAGUUUCUUUGUACAAAAAAAAAAAAAAAAACACAACAGCAACUACCUAAUAACAUAGUGUAAUAAUUAUAAUUCCCCUUUUGUCUGUACAGAAUAUUAUCAGGGGAUAAUGGGGGCUACUUCACAAGAACAAUCUCCAACUGCUGCUCGAAGUAACAGUUUUUUUUUAAACCUAAAAAUAAAGUCACGAUUUCUUACAUCUCAUUUUGACACGAUUUGAAAUGCAAUAAAUAGUAAGAAUACAAAUAAAUAUUUCUUUUUAAAUAAAAUAUAAUACAUGACCCCCCCCCCCCUAGAAAAAGAUCAGCUCAGCAAAUGGCAUCUCUCUCUCUCUUUCUUAAUAUCAUUAUUUUUUGAAUCAUUUAAUUUCUGUUUUUCGAUUAUUAUAAAUACUAUUAAUAUUAUUAUUGUAAAGAAAACCUUGGGCAUAAGCAUAAUAACGUCUAAGUAAUACAGAUUUUUAUUUUUUUUUAAACACAGGAAUGUAACAAUUUAGAAAAAAUAUAUAUACAAGAUUUACAAACAA